rnacentral:lncRNA from 1 species
CCAAAGAAAAACUUCCGUGGAAUCCAUUCAUGUGCUCGUUAUAUCAUAGAAAUCUAAACAUGAAGUUAAACCUCAUUUUAUUUUAUUUUCUCUAAGAAGUCCAAUGCACUUGUACACUAUCUCUCUCAACCAUCUCUCUUCAUUGCUCUAAACUUCAUGUAUAUGAUUCAGGUUUACCAUCCAAAGACACCAAUUGCAGAAAUCAUGUGUUUGUAAUUCUGUAGGAUUUCAUGUUAUGUGAUAUACAAACCCUUCGUCUUUCUUAUUAUAGUAUUACCUUAGUUGUUUUCCGGCGUCCUGUCAUCUAGUUUUAUCCAGAACUAGAUGACCCGGUUGCGCCAAUGGCGCAAGAAGCCAUUUAGAAGCAAUGUUAGUAGGAGAUGUAGCUGGAAAUAUAAUGCAAUGUGGAUUGUAUUACAGAUAAUAGUACAGAUAUAUAUAGUAGAAUGACUUAUAUUGGUUUACAGCUUAUUUAAGCAUCUUCUUAGUCUGAUUGUGGUCUUUAGAGGGUGUGAGCGUACGAUAAGCAGUGUGUCAUUGUCGCAUAAUGCUUGCAUGCUACACUUCCACAUGCACUUGAAGGCCUGUAAAAGGUAGCAUAUUGUCAAACACGGAUCGCUGAGAUAGCAAAAUCAUCAGAACAAAAACAGUAAGAGCAACAAAAACAUGCACCGAUCGGCAUAAUUAUUUGAUUCACAUCUUUGACACAACCCUGCCUUUGAACUGCACAUCUGUGCCACAUACGACUGAAAGCAAAACAACAACAAAAAUAGAGAAAUAAGCGGACAAAUAUUGUACUCCCUCCGUCCCAAAAUAAGUAGUACUAAAUCAGCGACACUUAUUUUGGGAUGGAGGGAGUAUAAACCAGCUAAUGGGUUCUUAAAUCAAGUCAGCCAACAAAAAUAUAUCUUGUGAUCAAGAUAUGCAGAUCACUAAGUGUAGUGUACUUAUACAUUCACAUACACAAGCUUCAAAGGUAAUGUGUCAUGAGUGUGUGACUACCAUGAUUUUUUAAGGCGGUAAGGCCAUCUAAGGUGAGCACCCACCCCUCUGAUGCCUAAGCGCCUAAGGUAGACGUCUAAGCUCCUAAAGCAGGCACAAUUGCACCUUAUAAACACUGGUGACUACCAACCCCCACAUAGUUAUUUGGAUGAGAGAAAAUGGUAUAUUAGAAAAAUGCAUGCAACAAUUAGAAGACAAUGAAAAGCUCAAAAAUUAGAUAUAGCAAAUUCAUCGGAAUCACAUGGACAUAUUGGAGGCAAGUACGCGUCAAGUAUAUAGAGAAAUAAGAAUAGAGAGGUCAAACUCUAUAACAACUGUUAUAAAGCACGCUAAGCCAAACUCUGUAGCUAUGGUUCCAAUGGACGCUACGCUAAGACACACUUUGUAGAUUCAGUAGGUAAUGAACAGUUUGGGUCCAAGUAAACAAGUAAUGGAAAAGGUAACCUUUUUUACUUCUAAGGAAAUAUUAACAAUCUGAUUCUACAAAAGAUUUAAACAUGCAUACAUACAGGAGGCAGCUACCGAGCCACAAAAUUCAGAUAGGUUAAUCAAAAUGUUUCUACUACUGAAAACAGAUGAACUUGUACACGAACAAACAAGCACAGUGAGUGUCUGUCAUCGCUGCAAUUUGUAUAUGAGGGAAACAACUCACCUCUUCAAGAAGAAAUCAUGUCUUCCUUUCCUCCUUAAAGCUCUGCGAGCUGCAACCUACGCCUUGGCUGUCACAGAAGUAGCAGCAGUAGAACCACCACCUAAAAGACUUUCUUCAAAGCAUUUCAAAGUGCUUCAUACAACUCAUCAUUGGGUAGCAACACUGGACUGGUGUAUGAAACAUCACCACCAAAAUAUUUGUAACUAAGCCAUAGUUUGGGAAUCAAUCAAAGUAGCCUGCUAUAAAGGCUUCCCAUUGUGAAUAUCAUUGCUAGUAAGUAAUCGACUCAACCAGAAGAACUUUGGGAGCAUCUGGUUCCUGCAUGAAGGGAUUCCAAUUAAUUAUGAGAUAGAAAUUAUGCCAAAUUUGAAAACAAUGAUAACAACCGAACAAGCAAAGUCAAAUACAAAAUUAACUAAUUGGUGAUUUUAUCAUCACAACAACAAGUGUUUGCUAACAAGUCCAUGUGCGGCUAUGUGCUCCAUGCAUGGUGUAUACGAAAACAUGGCGAGGGGGGAGCAGGUUCAGCAGCGGACCAUGUUAUUUUUUGUCCUUAUGCAACAACUGCCAGCAUGGACUCGUUGCAUUUAGUGGAGGAAUCAUUUGAUCAUUAUGCAAAAUACUAAUCAAAAGCUAAUUCUUCUUACAAUGGCAUGCCCUAUUUAGGUUACAAUUCAGUUAGUCCUACUGGAGUAAUAAAACUCCAAUAAUAUAAUAUAUGUAUUCAUGAAUUUCGGGUUUCAACACAUGCACCAUGAAUCCUUGGAAACACGACCUUCAGGCCUACAAUCAACACAUAAUGAGAUAGAGUGCCGAAAGGUUGACAUGGUGUAGAUUCUCCUUCCGAAAAUAAGGCAUGGGCAGUUUCAUCUUUCACCACAGAUGAUCGAUCCUAACUAUUUUACUACGUAGUCACCUUAUCUUUCAGUGCUUUAAUAAUCCUUGGAAGUUCAUAUUUGUACUCGAUUAGUUAUCUUGCUAACUCUAGAAGGGUGGACGUUUGGUCAAGGAGGAUUAAGGUGGCAUUCGAGUCCAAUCAAUUGCUUCAUUGCUUGAUCUAGUCUGGAUAAAAAACCAAAUGCAAGAACAUGGCCAGGAAAAGGGAUAUAAUCAAUCUGUUCAUCCUGCACCUCCACAAUGGCUGAUCCUGCCAAAGUGUCAAUUCAAUCAAUUAUGGCACUGCUAUUGUUGUAAAUAUGGUAACUUUAAUUUUUUUGAUAACAUAACUUCUUCUAUAAUGAAAUUUUUUCCUUGGCCUAUAACACCACAUCAGAUAUACAUCAGCCUAUGUGAUGAUGUAAUGUAUAAGGGUAAUCCACCUGAAGUGCAAAUCUACCUCUAAUUAUGUAAUAGGACUUAAUAUAGUAUGCAUGCAUUCUUUUAUCUCCGCUUCUUAGAUAUUUAAAAUUGGACAGAACGACUAAUUAUACAUCUCUAGAUUCAUCGAAUACUUUGGGGAGAGAUUAUAAGCACUAGAAUAAUUUUCUUGAUGACCGCAGCCAGCAAGUCAUGAGUGCUAUGAAUGCCUUCUCGGUGUUCAGUAUCAGAGGAUCCUUCAAAUCAGUUCAGCAUCAUAAAUAAUUGAAACUAUGAUGAUCCUAGGCUCCUAGUAGCGGUCCAAGUUUUUCUCCGAAUAGUGUAGAAUUGUGAUGAAGCAAAUGGACACAUAAUCAGUACGUGUAAAAGCUAAAAGAAGCAAAAUAUAUUCAUAAACACAGUGCUAGAUAAACAAAAAGGACCUUAAAUACAACUACAAAGAAAUAUCAUGCCAAGUGCAGCUUGUCGUUGGAAAAUCUUUUAGAUGCAUGAUGCUUCUACAGAUGAAAAGCAUAUAUGACGCAUUACUGUCAACUCAAUUAUUCUGCUCUAGUUGAAAGUAUAAUGGCCACAUAUAUCUACUUUCUGAUAGUAGCCAUCCAAGUUUUUCUCCGAAUAGUGUAGAAUUGUGACGAAGCAAAUGGACACAUAAUCAGUACGUGUAAAAGCUAAAAGAAGCAAAAGAUAUUCACAAACACAGUGCUAGAUGAACCAAAAGGACCUUAAAUACAACUACGAAGAAACAUCCCGGCAAGUGCAUCUUGCCGUUGGAAAGUCUUUUAGAUGCAUGAUGCUUCUGCAGAUGAAAAGCAUAUAUGACGCAUUACUGUCAACUCAAUCAUUCUGCUCUAGUUAAAUUUAUAAUGGCCACAUAUAUCUACUUUCUGAUAAUCACAAAUGUGCAAAUUUGGAGUACAAUCAAAAUAGAACUAUAUGGAAAUGGCUUUAUUUUAGGAAUUGAUGUAUGGAAAUAGCGUAGAAAAUAUAAGCAAAGAUAAAUAUACACCUUCCUUGUCUCCCGAACCUGCACAGUUCACACGGCCCAAUAACUUUGGUAUGUUACACCAUCAUGUUGCACGUCUAUGGCAUGGAGUGAAAUCUUGUACCUGCAAGAAUGGUCGCAUAAUUUGAGAUCCACUCGUUAUCGAGACUAUGCGUUUAUUUCUUGUUUUUAUAAUAGAAUUACCUAGGAAGCGGCUUAGGAGUGGAACACAUGGGGCAUCUAUAUAAAUCAUUUUAUUUUCUUAAGUUCUUCCAACAUUUCUCGCAGCUAAUAUACCACAAGUCUUCACCUGAGACCACUUAGGUGGCCUAGAGUCAAGAAUAAUCACCCAAUUCAGUAACUUUUCAUGGACUAAAACAAAAUACACGAUAUGCAGAAGUCCCAUUCUCUUGGUUCCUUCUUUCAGCACUAAUCGAACAGAAGAACAUCAACUGAACUUCCUACUAUCCAUACAUGAAUAUAGAUACUUCUUGCGAAACAAAAAUGAAUCAAAGGACUGCUCUAUAUUUGGGAAGCAACCAAAUCUAAAAAGUAUCUAUGAACUGAUCACAAACACAUAGUUUCAGUACUGAAACAAGUGCCAGAAGAACUCUCUCUAGAUUGAGGUAUACUUCGAGGCGAGUCUGAAACUCGCCGGCUUACGGUGUAGCUCAAGGCAAAUCGAAAUAUACACGUGUUGUUUUUACAGCACUCAGAGAGAAAAAGUGUACCAUUGAUGUUUAAAAUCGGACAAAAUAAUCUCAUACUACACGGCACGCAGACUGUUGUAUUACUCACUCUCCGACCAACAUCUCCAAGAACAAGAUAAUCUCAUACUACACGCAGACUGUUGUAUUACUCACUCUCCGACCAACAUCUCCAAGAACAAGAUAAUCUCAUACUACACGCAGACUGUUGUAUUACUCAUUCUCUGACUAACAUCUCCAAGAAAUCUCACUGUAUUUGAGAAACCACUCUUCUUUCAAACUGGACGUAGAGAAAAAUGACUGCUUCCUUUCUAAAUCUUAGACCAUUCCUAAUCAAAAUCGUAAAUAAUUUCCUAAUCAAAUCACUAAAGCAUGAAUCUACCAUUGCAUUCUGCCUACACAAGCCCCACACACGCGGGCGCAGAGAGAGAGAGAGAGAUGGGAGGUGCAGAGAAGGCUAUGGAGGAUGGUGUUGAUCUCACCUGAGAGGACCGGCAGCCAGCUCAGAGAUCCACUUCUCGCCGUCGUCCUGGCGUUCCCAUCACAACCCUCACCCUGUUCCCUCUUCUGCCACUUUGCACGUGUGUCUCUCCCGCUUCAGAUCUGAACCUUAGGGAGGAAGAACAAACGACAUGGUGGCGUGGGGAGAGAACCCAGCGCCGCUGCAUCCUCUGACCCCCACCUCCUGCUCACCCUCGUGCCUCCUCACCCCGUCGUCCACCUCCCUCCUCUGCUCCCCCGGGUCUCCUCCUAUCGUCGGCAGUCAACGUGACGAGCAGGAUAGCAGCGGCUUGGGGAAAGGAGAAGCCAACGCGAAAGACGGUGGUGCGGGGCUGGCACGGCGGCGGUGGCGGCUGAUGGGGAACGGCGGAGGAGAGGAAGGGCAGGGAUGGGAGCCGGCGGAGGAAAGAGGGGACGAGGAGACACGGGGGAGAUAUUUUCUAGGGCUCGCCUCGUCUCUAGCCUGAACCACGCACACCGCAGUACCCGUAACAACCAUCUGAUUCACUGGACCAUGGCCAACGAGACCCACCCGGCAGCCACUCUCAAAAGAAACGUUAAUGUAAAAAAGAAUGGACGGUUUAUCACAAGCCAGCAGCCAAAAUAAUGCUACAGGAAAGGAAUCG